ACCGGAGCUUGCUCCACCGGAAAAAGAGGAGUGGCGAACGGGUGAGUAACACGUGGGUAACCUGCCCAUCAGAAGGGGAUAACACUUGGAAACAGGUGCUAAUACCGUAUAACAAUCGAAACCGCAUGGUUUUGAUUUGAAAGGCGCUUUCGGGUGUCGCUGAUGGAUGGACCCGCGGUGCAUUAGCUAGUUGGUGAGGUAACGGCUCACCAAGGCGACGAUGCAUAGCCGACCUGAGAGGGUGAUCGGCCACAUUGGGACUGAGACACGGCCCAAACUCCUACGGGAGGCAGCAGUAGGGAAUCUUCGGCAAUGGACGAAAGUCUGACCGAGCAACGCCGCGUGAGUGAAGAAGGUUUUCGGAUCGUAAAACUCUGUUGUUAGAGAAGAACAAGGAUGAGAGUAACUGUUCAUCCCUUGACGGUAUCUAACCAGAAAGCCACGGCUAACUACGUGCCAGCAGCCGCGGUAAUACGUAGGUGGCAAGCGUUGUCCGGAUUUAUUGGGCGUAAAGCGAGCGCAGGCGGUUUCUUAAGUCUGAUGUGAAAGCCCCCGGCUCAACCGGGGAGGGUCAUUGGAAACUGGGAGACUUGAGUGCAGAAGAGGAGAGUGGAAUUCCAUGUGUAGCGGUGAAAUGCGUAGAUAUAUGGAGGAACACCAGUGGCGAAGGCGGCUCUCUGGUCUGUAACUGACGCUGAGGCUCGAAAGCGUGGGGAGCAAACAGGAUUAGAUACCCUGGUAGUCCACGCCGUAAACGAUGAGUGCUAAGUGUUGGAGGGUUUCCGCCCUUCAGUGCUGCAGCUAACGCAUUAAGCACUCCGCCUGGGGAGUACGACCGCAAGGUUGAAACUCAAAGGAAUUGACGGGGGGCCCGCACAAGCGGUGGAGCAUGUGGUUUAAUUCGAAGCANCGC
rnacentral:rRNA from 1 species